rnacentral:tRNA from 1 species
GGUGAGAUUAGCUCAGUUGGUAGAGUGCUUGCUUAGCAUGUAUAAAUCCCUGGGUUCAAUUCCCAGCACCA